UACGUAGGGUGCAAGCGUUGUCCGGAAUUAUUGGGCGUAAAGGGCUCGUAGGCGGUCCAUCGCGUCGGGAGUGAAAAGCUGGGGCUUAACCCCAGUCCUGCUUCCGAUACGGGUGGACUAGAGGUAGGUAGGGGAGAUCGGAAUUCCUGGUGUAGCGGGUGAAAUGCGCAGAUAUCAGGAGGAACACCGGUGGCGAAGGCAGCACUCUGGGACGUGACUGACGCUGAAAUACGAAAGCGUGGGGAGCAAACAGG
rnacentral:rRNA from 1 species